CUAUGGGUCGCAGCAGUGGGGAAUAUUGGACAAUGGACCAAAAGUCUGAUCCAGCAAUUCUGUGUGCACGAUGACGGUCUUCGGAUUGUAAAGUGCUUUCAGUUGGGAAGAAAAAAAUGACGGUACCAACAGAAGAAGCGACGGCUAAAUACGUGCCAGCAGCCGCGGUAAUACGUAUGUCGCAAGCGUUAUCCGGAUUUAUUGGGCGUAAAGCGCGUCUAGGUGGUUUGAUAAGUCUGAUGUGAAAAUGCGGGGCUCAACUCCGUAUUGCGUUGGAAACUGUCAAACUAGAGUAUCGGAGAGGUGGGCGGAACUACAAGUGUAGAGGUGAUAUUCGUAGAUAUUUGUAGGAAUGCCGAUAGGGAAGUCAGCUCACUGGACGAAUACUGACACUGAAGCGCGAAAGCAUGGGGAGCAAACAGGAUUAGAUACCCGGGUAGUC
rnacentral:rRNA from 1 species